rnacentral:rRNA from 1 species
UACGGAGGGUGCAAGCGUUAUCCGGAUUCACUGGGUUUAAAGGGUGUGUAGGCGGGCUGUUAAGUCAGUGGUGAAAUCCCGGGGCUCAACCCCGGAACUGCCAAUGAUACUAUCAGUCUUGAAUACUGUGGAGGUGAGCGGAAUGUGUCAUGUAGCGGUGAAAUGCAUAGAGAUGACACAGAACACCGAUUGCGAAGGCAGCUCACUACGCAGUUAUUGACGCUGAGGCACGAAAGCGUGGGGAUCAAACAGG